rnacentral:rRNA from 1 species
AUUGAACGCUGGCGGCAUGCUUUACACAUGCAAGUCGAACGGGAACAUGCCGUCAGGUGCUGACGGGGUGCGUACGGGGGGGGAAUGCAUCGUUAGGUUCCCAGUCAUGGGGGAUAACGGGUGCUAAGAGUAGCUAAUACCUCAGACGAAAUAUGUAUUAACGCUGGGGUGCGUAAGGGUUGGCUCCGUUGGAUGGGCGGAUGUCAGAUUAUGUAGUUGGCGGGGCAAAGGCGCACCAAGAGAACGAUCUGUAACUGGUAGGAGAGGACAAGGCGCCACACUGGGAGUGAGAAACGGCAGCGACUCCUACGGGAGGCAGCAGUGCGGAAUUUUGCACGAUGGAGGCAAGCGUGAUCCAGCACUGCCGCGUGAAGCAAGAUGGACUUCGGGUUGUAAACUGAUUUUGUCCGGAAGGAAACAGAUCUGGUUAAUCCCCGAGGAUAAUGACGGUACCGUAAGAAUAAGCACCGGCUAACUCCGUG